GGGGACAGAGUGGUGUUUUGGUUGGUAAUUGGGUGGGAUUUUUACUUGUGCAUUUGUUUCGCAUCCGAGUAUAUUGUGACUGUAUGAACUUCGUUGGAAUAUAUGUGAUAUGACCUAUUUUAUUUUAUGUGAAUAUGUGUGAUGUGUUGAUUGAGUUUUUUGUAUAUUUGUUUGUUUUCUUCAUCAUUGCCGCUUUACUUUUGUUUCGGAC
rnacentral:lncRNA from 1 species